AGAUUGAACGCUGGCGGCAUGCCUUACACAUGCAAGUCGAACGGCAGCACGGGAGCAAUCCUGGUGGCGAGUGGCGAACGGGUGAGUAAUACAUCGGAACGUGCCUAAUAGUGGGGGAUAGCCCGGCGAAAGCCGGAUUAAUACCGCAUACGACCUACGGGUGAAAGCGGGGGAUCGCAAGACCUCGCGCUAUUGGAGCGGCUGAUGUCAGAUUAGGUAGUUGGUAGGGUAAAAGCCUACCAAGCCAACGAUCUGUAGCUGGUCUGAGAGGACGACCAGCCACACUGGGACUGAGACACGGCCCAGACUCCUACGGGAGGCAGCAGUGGGAAUUUUGGACAAUGGGCGCAAGCCUGAUCCAGCCAUGCCGCGUGCGGGAAGAAGGCCUUCGGUUGUAACCGCUUUGUCAGGAGAACGCUUACGAGCCAAUACCGUCGAAGUAAGUCGACGGUACCUGAAGAACUAAGACGACCGACUAACUACGUACCCAGACAGCCGACGGUAACUCGUA
rnacentral:rRNA from 1 species